rnacentral:rRNA from 1 species
UACGGGGGGGGCAAGCGUUGUUCGGAAUUACUGGGCGUAAAGGGCUCGUAGGCGGCCAACUAAGUCAGACGUGAAAUCCCUCGGCUUAACCGGGGAACUGCGUCUGAUACUGGAUGGCUCGAGUUUGGGAGAGGGAUGCGGAAUUCCAGGUGUAGCGGUGUAAUGCGUAGAUAUCUGGAGGAACACCGGUGGCGAAGGCGGCAUCCUGGACCAACACUGACGCUGAUGAGCGAAAGCCAGGGGAGCAAACGGG